rnacentral:rRNA from 1 species
UACGUAGGGUGCAAGCGUUAAUCGGAAUUACUGGGCGUAAAGCGUGCGCAGGCGGUUUUGUAAGCCAGAUGUGAAAUCCCCGGGCUCAACCUGGGAAUGGCAUUUGGGACUGCAAGGCUGGAGUUUGGCAGAGGAGACUGGAAUUCCCGGUGUAGCAGUGAAAUGCGUAGAUAUCGGGAGGAAUACCGAUGGCGAAGGCAGGUCUCUGGGCUAUAACUGACGCUCAUGCACGAAAGCGUGGGGAGCAAACAGG